rnacentral:tRNA from 2 species
CCGUCGAUAGCUCAGUUGGUAGAGCGGUGGGCUGUGUAGAGUUUUUUCGACAUUGAUGUCCAUAGGUCGCUGGUUCGACUCAGGCUCGACGGA